rnacentral:rRNA from 1 species
AUUGAACGCUGGCGGCAUGCCUUACACAUGCAAGUCGAACGGUAACGCGGGGCAACCUGGCGACGAGUGGCGAACGGGUGAGUAACGCAUCGGAACGUACCCAGUAGUGGGGGAUAGCCCGGCGAAAGCCGGAUUAAUACCGCAUACGACCUACGGGAGAAAGCGGGGGAUCGCAAGACCUCGCGCUAUUGGAGCGGCCGAUGUCAGAUUAGGUAGUUGGUGGGGUAAAGGCCUACCAAGCCUACGAUCUGUAGCUGGUCUGAGAGGACGACCAGCCACACUGGGACUGAGACACGGCCCAGACUCCUAUGGGAGGCAGCAGUGGGGAAUUUUGGACAAUGGGCGCAAGCCUGAUCCAGCCAUGCCGCGUGCGGGAAGAAGGCCUUCGGGUUGUAAACCGCUUUUGUCAGGGAAGAAACGCUCUGGGCUAAUACCCCGGGGUAAUGACGGUACCUGAAGAAUAAGCACCGGCUAACUACGUGCCAGCAGCCGCAGUAAAAC